CUAAUACAUUACAACUUUCAGCGGUGGAUGUCUAGGUUCCCACAACGAUGAAGAACGCAGCGAAAUGCGAUACGUAAUGCGAAUUGCAAGACCUCGUGAAUCAUCAAGAUUUUGAACGCACAUUGCGCUUUCGGGUAUUCCCGGUAGCAUGCUUGUCUGAGUGUCUGUGGA
rnacentral:rRNA from 1 species